UCUAACACUUGAUAUAAACAAUGGAAUUCUACUAGAUUUUUACAAUAAAUAAACCAAGAUCUCUGCUUAAUUUUCAAGUUUAAGCUGUCACGAGAAAUCGGAGAUUUAAGAGACGAAAUUGUAGACGGGUAUAUACAUUUGUUAUCACACCAUGUCAGGUGGUUAUUUCGCAUAAAAGUGUUAAGAUUUCACGAAAUUUGACUACCCCCACCCCAUGAUUGAUUGCCUCAAAGUCAUAGAAAUUGUGGUCUCCGAUAUAAGGCCAUAUCAAUACUAUUCAUCUACGCGUAAUUUCUACGGACACAAACACAAAAAUAGAAUAUUUUAGUAGCUGUGACGUCAUAAACUUAAUCCAACGUAUUGUCGGGCCGUUAUCUUUAUAAACACUACGAAAGCAUUUGAAACACGCGAUGAUGAUAACAACAUCAACAAAAA